ensembl:lncRNA
GGAGGAGGAGGUAGUGGAGACAGAGGGAGGAGGAGGUAGUGGAGACAGAGGGAGGAGGAGGUGGUGGAGACAGAGGGAGGAGGAGGUAGUGGAGACAGAGGGAGUAGGAAGUGGAGACAGAGGGAGGAGGGAGUGGAGACAGAAGAGGAGGGAGUGGAGACAGAGGGAGGAGGAGGUAGUGGAGACAGUGGGAGGAGGUAGUGGAGACAGAGGCAGGUGCGAGUGGAGACAGAGGGAGGAGGAGGUGGUGGAGACAGAGGGAGGAGGAGGUAGUGGAGACAGAGGGAGUAGGAAGUGGAGACAGAGGGAGGAGGGAGUGGAGACAGAAGAGGAGGGAGUGGAGACAGAGGGGAGGAGGAG